GCGCCUAUAGCUCAACUGGAUAGAGCACUUGACUUCGGAUCAAGGGGUUGUGGGUUCAAAUCCUGCUAGGCGCG
rnacentral:tRNA from 1 species